AUCAAGAGUAGACACAGGGAGACAUCUGAAAGCAUAUAGUCACAACCCAUGUCACUGAUAAUUGGGUUGUGCAGAUGGAUUUGAAAUGUAUUUUGGGUCAAAAGGAGCCCAGAUAAAUUCUAGUGCUGAUGGAAGGUACUUCUCAACAGCUGUCGGCCUGCUCACAGACCUUUACUGGAUGCAAAAGCAAAACAAGGUUAAACUCCAGAUUGCUUCAGUAGGCUAAAUGCCACUUCAUAAGGAAAAGGCUGGAAAUUAUACAUUCAGAAUAAGUCGGGAAAGCUGAGCCCUUUCCUGACGGGAGUCCAGGUCUCAGAAACUUGCUGGAAAACUAAAGCUCCCUCUAUCCUCCCUGCCACUUCAGCAGGACAGAUGGGGAAACAAACAUGGAGCACAUAGUAAAGCCAAAGAAGUUUGUAUAUGUUAAUUUAUGUUGAUUUUCAUAACAACUUGAGUAGGUUUUUUUUUUUUUUUUCUCCAUCUCUACAUCUGAGGAAAAAGAGAAACUGAAAGAGCUGAGGAGGGGCCCACAAGGAGUAAGUGGAGGAAAGCAGAGUUGAAUCUAGAAAAUCCACACUCUGGAUCACGUUACUCUUAUGCAGAAAGCCUCUCAUCCAAUUUCCUGUUUCACUCAUUCCACAAGUGUUUUAAAGUUUUAGAUGUGAAAGGGCAAUAUUAAAUAUUCUCAGAACGUCAACUCUCCCCAGCAAUGCUUGGCUCUUAGUUCUGACAACUUUGUAUUCUAUAUAGCAGAUCUAUUGACCCCAACUUUCAUUCCUUUGCUCCUGCCCUUUUCCGUGUGACUUUAAAGUUCUUCUCACUGGAAACAGAGGUAUUGACUUUGGUCUCAGCCAUGUGACCUGCUUUGGCCAAAGAGAUGGUUGCGUUCAUGAAGCAAGAAGAUGCAAUGAAAUGCAAUGCCUGAUUCCAUUUGCUCUCAUGCACUCUUACCAUUACCUGGGAAGACUGUCUCCUGAGUAGGCGCUUACCCUAAGCCUUGUUCCCUGACUUAAACCCACGUGGCACAGACCUCAGCCUAAAUUGCAGUGAGAAGCCAGGCCCAGUUGACUCACAGCCUGAAGCAGAGCCACCCAGUCUAACCCAGCCAAGAUCAACCAAUAGUCCAUUGACCUGUGGACCUAUGAGCAAGAGAGUAAGUGGUUGUUCUAUGGUUUUCAGUUUGGGGGUAGCUUAUCUUACAUCAUUUCUGGGGCAAUAAUCAAUUAAUGUAUCUAUGACAGUUGCUUUCACCUCCUGGGUAAUUUGCUCUGGAAAACAUCUGUAGCCAGCAAAUAGUGUUUGAGCACUGGCUAUGUGAAAAUCAAUACAAGAUUCAAACAGUGGCUUUGGAAAAUUCAAAGAUUAAAGCACAGGAUUCCUUCAAGAGAGCUCAUAGGAGAAGAAAAGGUAAAAGAUACCACACACUUGGGAUAAAUAAAGCAGAGAUGGGAGGGAGUCA
rnacentral:lncRNA from 1 species